rnacentral:rRNA from 1 species
CUUUGACCUGAAAUCAGGUAGGGCUACCCGCUGAACUUAAGCAUAUCA